CCGACUUCCGCUAAGUCAUGUAAAACAGAUAGACCGUAGGCUCUUUGCUGCGGUUAGCCCGCUGUUUCGGGCAACGACUAGAAUUCACAGCGCUGAGGGAUUGUUUUCGGUUCAAAAACCACUUCAGCGGAGUGGGGAGGGGCAGUUGGAGCAUGCACAGACGCUUCACCCGACCACACUCCGGUUGAGGUGUAUACAUCCAGGAAUACUCCGGUGAAUGUCUCCAGUACCCAGAGGUCUGUGUUCAUCGGCCGGUAAAACUCCGCUGGAUGACUCGCUUCAGAAAGGUUGAAAAACUGCAUCACUCCCUCUUUAGCCUUUAGCUUAGCACCAUUGCAACCAUAAACAACACUGGCUUGGCCGUGUCAUCCUCCCCAGCUCCACCCGCUCAUCAAAAAUCGUUACUAAUAUUUGCAAGAAACCAAGACGGCGAUGCCCGUAUCGCCCAACUCGAGGCUUCAGAACGGCAGUCCACAAACCAAUAGUGUGUGUGUGUGUGUGUUGCCUCUCACCACUGGCCCUUGGCAGCUGUACUCCUCCUCUGCUGUGAGAUGCUGUAGAUCUCCUGCAGCUGUUUCUUCUGUUCGUCGCUGAGCGGAGCUGUCAAACACUGGUACCAGGCUGCAUCAGUGUUCUGGACCCCUAACA